CCAAACCAAAGUGAAAGUCCAACCAACCAACCAACCCACCAAAAGAACCAAACCAUAGGGAGUGGGAGUGCAUUGGCCCAGAAAACCCAAACCAGCCCGCCGCUUCUGUCUUCCUCCUCCUCCUCCUCCUCUCGAUUCCCCCCAACCCCAGCAGCCGCCGGCGUCCUCGUCUCCCCAAAGCAGCCGCCGGCGUCCUCGUCUCCCCCAGCCCCACCGGCGAUCUCAACGCCCCUAGCACCACCGGCGUCCCCACCCUCUUCUCCUUUCCUAACUAGGCGCCAGACCCACCCGAGUAGUAGAUCUGGCCGCGGCAACCACGCACCGGCAGAGGAGGACUCCUCCUCCCACCGCCACCGCACCCUCCUCCUUCCGCUCCCUAGCUGACUGCAGCGUCCAGCCUCCACAACGCCGCUCCCUCCUCGCCCCGGAAACCCUAGCCCGCGGCCAUGGCGACCGAGCGCAGCACAGACCUCUCCGCCAAGACAACACCUUGGCACUGGCAAGGGUGGUAUGUUUUCUCCGAUCUGGUCUCGUGAAUCGGUGAAUGGGGCCAAAGGGAGGCUGCUCCGAUCAAGGUCGCCCACCAUCAAGUCCCACUGUUGCCAAGAGGUGCACCGCAGACCACCGUGUAAAGUCUUCAUGUAAACUGGAUGUGUGUACCCUGGCGACCAGACAGGCACGUUUUCAGAAAAUUGAACUGAGUUUUUCCCUCAGUUCUUGAUGGUGUACCUUGGCGACCAGGAGAACGACAAAGCACAAUUUUCUAGCAUAAGAUCGGACUGCAUGGUUUUCUUGUGUAGAUGACAUACCUGUUCUUGCUUCAUAUGGAAUUGAUGUCUGCAAGUAGUUCAUAUCAGUGGCAACAUACGCUUCAUCUUUGGUCUUGUAGCUCUAAAGAAACAGAGCAGAUGCACCGACCGUUUCCUUCAGGCUUUUUGGCCUCUACACUGUUGAGAUCAACAUCGUAAAAUACACAUCUUGUGUUUUUUAUCAUCAAGCAAUCUCUAUUCUUGUGGUUUACGCUGUGUUAUGAAUCCUGAUGAAUUAAAUUUAAUAAAUGAGAUACAAGGUUAUUGUUUUCUGCUUGAUCUUACUUUCUUUGAACUCCACACUUUUUUUCUCUUUUUCCUCAUGUCCUACUUAAUUAGUAUGCAAGCAGAAGCGUUCUUCUCAGUGUUGAUACUUCUUUCUGGAUUUUUUUCAUAAGCCCUCAAAAUUUUAUUGUUCUGGCAAAUAAUAAUUGAUGUAUUCCAUUUUGCACGGUUCAGUUUGUGUUUUUGUGCAUUAUCUCAUUAAACAAGUCUGCCUUUUGAAAUUUAUUUACAGGGCUGAAAUUUUCUUGUACUAUAUUUCUUUGGAGGUACAAGAUUACUACCACCAGCAGAACUGAUACCAAGGGCGUCUUUAGGAGGCAUGAGAGGGGAAUGAAGUGCUCAGAUGGGAUAUUCCACAACUUCAGUCCAUCAAAUCUCGGAGAGAGAGAGAGAGAGAGAGAGAGAGAGAGAGCAUAUGUAUCUAAAUCUGAAGAAAGGCAUGGAAGUCGCGGUUGUUAGAAGGCACGGAGGGAACUUGACACGCUCAACGGCCACCUGGAGUUGGUCGUCAAGCUGAAGUGGCUCGUCUCGCUCUAUUCGGUGUGAUGAGUGCCCAGAAUUCUUCGGCUUCUUAGUAUGUUGUGGUGUUCAAAUUAGCUUCUUGCUCUGAGAAUUGUGCUGAAGCGCCAAGCAAGAUUGCUGUGGAACAUGUUCGAUUGGCAUGAUGAAUUCGAAUGGAAGGAAUUUGGAUGCAUGCAUGAAUGAAUUUCUGGUUUCCCAACAGAGUUGUUGAUUUGGGAUGAAUGGAUGGAUCAUGCUUUUUUGUUUUGUUUGAUGCCAUUGCAUAGGUGUACAGUGCACCGCACCACUUUGUAUGUGUUUGGAGUAAGCUAUUUUCUCUUGUUUUUUCAUGUCCAUUGCAGGUGUGUUGUCGUGCUAGUCGUUGCGGUGGGUUUACUUGGCCACUAAUUAAUCUUGUUCUUUCACUCUGCCCAGGAACAGCCUGACUUGAUGAUGAGGAUGGCAAAGAAGUCUAGAAAUGGUCGACCCACAGCCACUGGAAGUUUGAUCAUCCGGGAUGGUUAGAAGAUGGAUUGAUUUUCCUUUUAUGUUUCUAGUGUCUGUAAUCCGAGUUUGUUGUUUUGGGUUGCUGGGUGCUAGACCAAGAAUCUUAUAGUGUUUUGCUGGUAGUGUGAAGUUUCUCCUCUGCAGGCCACUGUACAAAUGAGAUGUGUGUCGAUGACCUGUGACCAUUCAGGCUCAUCUAAGAAGAUGGUUGUUCGUCUUGGAUUAUAAUCAUCAGCUUAGUUAUCAGUUUCUCCUGGUGUUGGAUUAGCUUCAUCUUUUUGAGA